CCGGUUACGCCAUUUUCUUCUGCCAAAUGUUCGGUCAGUGUUCCGCGUCUUGGUGAUUCACAGACAAAUUGUACACAACUCGGUUAAAACAUGGGAAGGAAAAAGAAGAAGCAGAUGAAGCCUUGGUGUUGGUACUGUAAUAGGGAUUUUGAUGACGAAAAGAUUCUUAUUCAGCACCAAAAGGCCAAACACUUCAAGUGUCACAUAUGUCAUAAAAAGCUAUACACUGGUCCUGGUCUGGCCAUCCACUGUAUGCAGGUUCACAAAGAAACAAUUGAUGGAGUUCCCAAUGCCAUACCUGGAAGAACAGACAUUGAACUGGAAAUUUAUGGGAUGGAGGGUAUUCCAGAGAAAGAUAUGGAAGAAAGAAGACGAGUACUUGAGCAGAAAACACAGGAAAACCAGAAAAAAAAACAGAACCCAGAUGACUCUGAUGAGGAUGAUGAUGAUGAUGAGGCAGGACCAUCAUUCCAGCAAGCAGCAGCCCAGCCUCAGGCUGCUUACGCUCCUAUGGCACAGCCUGGAAUGGCACCUGUGCCCACACCAGGCAUGCCACCUGGGAGCUACUCAGGAAUGCCACCAAUGAUGCCUGCGGUCCCUCCCAUGAUGCCAGGGAUGCCCCCAGUCAUGCCAGGGAUGCCCCCUGGCAUGAUGCCCAUGGGUGGGAUGAUGCCACCUGGACCAGGAAUGCCUCCGAUGAUGCCAGGCAUGCCACCAGGCAUGCCUCCUCCUAUGGGCCAUCGUCCAGGUAUGAGCCACAUGCCUCAGGCUCCUGCCUCCGCCACGUCAGGCAUGAUGCCAAGAGCAGCCACACCUGCAGCCACAGUUGCUUCUCCACAGCCUGCUGUAACCAAGCCCUUGUUCCCUAGUGCAGGACAGAUGGGGACUCGAGCUCCCAGCACAAGCUCAGCCUCCUCCAGUAUGGACACUUUGUCAGCACCCUCUAAGCCGCUGUCGCAAGCUGUGCCUGGGGCAGCAGCAGCCACUUCUGCUGCUCCCAAAGCCACAUUCCCAGCAUACAGCCAGCCUACGCCCUCUGCUGCAAGCGCAGGUAGCACUGUGGCCAAACCUGCCACCCCCAUUACAAGUAAGCCUGCCACCCUCACCACUACCAGUGCAACCAGUAAGUUGAUCCACCCUGAUGAGGAUAUCUCUCUGGAGGAGCUACGUGCUCAACUACCACGAUACCAGUGUAAGAUCCCUAGCACAGGGCAGGCACACAUUAGCACUCCUCCUGUUGGGCCAAUGGGAGGGGUGUUGCCUGCUCAGCAAGGUGCUUCUCCACAACAGCCAGGUGCCAGGCAUCCCCUGCAUGGGCCAUAUGGUACCCCAUCCCAGACAGUGCCUGGCUAUGUGCCAGGGGCAAUGUCACCUUACGGACAAGGACCCCCAAUGGUUCCUCCUUACCAGGGAGCUCCCCCAAGGCCGCCCAUGGCCAUGAGGCCUCCUGUAAUGUCCCAGGGAGGCCGUUAUUGAAGCUCAAACACCAGUCUCCGAUAGGUUUUUAGAAGUGAAGUUUAGUAAAUAUGGUUCGUAAUAAUUUGAAGCGGCUGGAGUAACGUGAACAGUACUGCACCUUUUAUCAAGCGAUGCCAUGGGACCGGCUGAGGUUGAGUCUCACUGGUGCCCUGUUCAGGCUGAGGCAAGUCACAUGUUUUUCUCUUUAAUUUCUUACGAGCGGGGGGCCCUCACAGCCUCAUGGCUGUUGGAUUCCAAUGUCCCCAAACUUGUAGCAAGUUUGGUGAUGGCCCCUGUUAUUAUUCACAUUAGAAAAAAACCUAUAACUAACCUCUACUGCUUUUGUUUCCAAAGUGCAGAGGUGGGAACAAGUAACAAGUAAGUUUCAAGUCAUAAUACUCAAGUCCCAAGUAAAGUCAGAGGGGUCCCAAAUCCUGAACAAGUUUAAGUGCGUUCCUUACCGAAUUGAUUCCCAUUUCCAUAUUUUACUUCAACAAAGUAUGGUGAAUUAAAGCCAUGGUAAUAUAUUCAUAAACUGUUAACAAGAGUAUAAACAAAAAAAUUAUUUUAUCCACACCUAAAAUGACACGUGCCACCGAAGACUAAAAAGUAGUGUAAACAAGUUUUGUCCAUUGAUUUGAAAUUAAAAGCACUUAUUCAUGUUUUCUCGCUUUGCAAAUAACAAUUUCUGAAGGUUGUCAGUUGUUUUCCACAAACCUAUAAUGUGCAUCAGGCAUACAUAAAAUGAUAUUUCACAGGGAUGUCAGCCUCCAGUCCUGCUGGGAUACCUUAGAAAUAUGUCACCUUGUGAUUCUCCAAAUAUAGCUCAUGAAGUUCUCUGCAAUUAUCUGUUGAGUUUGUUUAGGUGUGUUUAAAUGUAGAUGAAAUGCUAACAUUUUUGUCUGGAGUCUGACACCUAAUAUAGUAUUUAGUUCCACUGCUCAGUUGGUAAGUACAUUAACUUCAAAUUAAAAGUAAUGGUGCUGUCACAUUCAGGAAAUUGUAAUAAUAAUAAUUAUAUAUAUAUAUAUAUACACACGCACACGCACACACACACACACACACACACACACACACACACUAUUUAUGAUUUACCCUCAGGAUUGAUAAGCAGAAACUUCUUACCUCAUAUUAAUCAACCUGUAAUGCUCAGUCCUUCUUAGGCUCAAUUAUCGGAUACAUCUGGUGCUUAAAUAACUGCUAGUAGAUUUCUAAUUAUUUAUGUACUGUAGAUCUAGAUAUACCCUUUUUGUGCCUUGUGGCUCUAGUUCACUCUUCUCCACUACUCAAGUAGGUGCUAGUGACCAUCAAAUGUAAAGUAUUAAUGUUCUUUCUUAGAGCCCAUAUUAGAGUAACAUUUACAAAGUCGAUAGAUGGGCAAAACCCAAAGCAAAUUUCUGAGCUUUGGUGUGAUGCAGCCAAAACUUACAGCUACAGCAGAUAUUCAGAUAUUUUUCUAAAUUGAUUUCUGAAAUGUUUUCUAAAAUGACACAAAAUGAGUACUCACUUAUACAGUAUGCAAUAACAAUUUCUUUUAGAUUAUACACGUGACAUUUACAGUGCUGUUUGUUGCUCUUGCUCUUCCUGUUUGUUUCACAUCAGAUACUGAUCAUAUUACCUGUUGUGUUUAAGUGUCAUUGUCUCAGGCUAGGCUUUCAAAUGGUAAGCUUUGUAUCCAGAUCUUUGUUUAUUUAAAUUUUUUAAAUACAAAUCUUUUUAAAUAAAUGGUUUGACUGUGUUUUUUUUCUUUGAUAGCUGUGUUUCAGCUGAUUUUCUUUAGACUACCUGUAGACCAGAUCAAAUUUUAUAUAUAGCUUUUCUACAUAUUUUAUAUGUAGAAAAAUGACAUCAAUUGCACACCUCUAAUUUGUAUACCACCAUAAUAGAGUUGAAGCAUUCAAUAUGUGAUGGAAGUAGACUUCCAGCUUUAUUAAAAAAUAUGUAAAAUAUUGCAUUAGCUGUUUAUUUUGAAAAACCCAAAACCUAUAGCAGACCUAUACCAGAAACAAGGCGGCCAAAUCAAAAAUUUGUUACAUUUUCAUAAAGAAGCAAUGCACUAGGGAGCUCAGUAGCACCAGACAAAUAAACUAGAUGAUUCUAGAAGUAAAACCCCUUCACAUCAUCUAGUCAAGUCAAGAAUACGCUCAAGGAGGUAGGCGUAUCAUUGUCAGUGUACAAUCAUGAGGCGCAUUUACAUUUAAAUCUAUGGCAUUUGGAAGACGCCCUUAUACAAAAGUGCUUUUUUGAACCAAGAAGGGGAAAAAUGCUAGGAUUAGCUAGAAAGUAUAGACUCCGAGCAUCUGCUGAUCGAAGCAGUAGGAUGAAUUCUAAAGUGUCUAGCGCUAUACUUUCUGCACAGGUUCAGUCAAAUGCUGCAAAACUGAAAGUGAUGGUGCUUCAUGGUACAGAUGGAUAAUGACCUGAAGCAUACCACAAAAUCAACCCAAGAGCUGCUUAAAGCAAAUAAAAGGAAUUUUCUUAAAUGGUCAAGUCAGUCAACUUUUUACUUACCGAAGACAUAACUGACGGCAAAAAGACUCAUAAACAAGCAGGUGCUGAGGGAAAGCACUGAAAAAACAUCUGGUAUUACUUUUAUUUUAAGAGAAUGGUGUACAGUUAACUGUACAUUCAAUGAAUUUUUAAAAAAGGUUUUUUAAAAGAAAUUACAAUUUCGUGGUUUCUU